GAGACAGGAGGGGAAAACAGAGAGGGGGAGAGAAAGACAGACACCUACAGACCUGCUUCACCGCUUGUAUAGUGACUCCUCUGGACGUGGGGAGCCCUGGGCUGUAACCAGGAUCCUUAUGCCGGCCAUGCGCUUUGUGCCACUUGCGCUUAACCCGCUAUGUGUCUGUGUCAGGUGUCUGUCUGUCUGUCUGUUGUUUUUUUUUUAAAGAUUUUAUUUAUUUGUUUGUUUGUUUAUUUAUUUAUGAGAAAGAUAGGAGGAGGAGGAUCACUCUGGCACAUGUGCUGCCGGGGAUCGAACUCAGGACCUCAUGCUUUAAAGUCCAAAGCUUUAUCACUUCACCACCUCCCAGACCACAGGUCAUUUCUUAAAUACUGCUUUGUAUCCUAUAUUGUUCCCCCCUUUUUUUCUUGGUGAUUGUUUUUUAGUGGCACCAGGUCAAUAUAUAUAUAAUUUUUUUAACUACAUGUACACAUAUACACACAUACGCAUGCACACACUCUAACCCACCAUCAGUGGAGUCUCCCCUGGUGCCUUCU